GAUUCAAAUUCAUAAAAUAAUGGUAAAGUAACAUUUUUUAAAUCCUUAAAAGUCGCCCUCCACGGAAUAAAAAAAUGAUGUCACCUUGUUGUUGUUCAAAGUACACGCACGCGCAUACGAUCAAAGUAUCAAACAUGUGUGCCGGACCCUUCCAAAAAUUUCCCCGAGAAAAGAAAAUCGCAAACCCGCGCCCCUUUCUCCCCAUUAUCUCCCUCGGUCGCUCACACAAAAUUAGACAAGCCCACACUCCAAUUUCUUUUUUUUGCAAAUCCCCCACACACCAAUCUGUAUGCUGGCCUUCUCACCGUCUCCAGCUCCUUCCAUCCACCUACCAAGUACCAACGCCCUGAGCCACCUCCCAUGUCCCCCAGCUGCUCCGGCGAUGGCGAGUUCCGGCUCACCCUCAUCUUCCCCUCCGCGCCCCGGAGAGAUCAUGGUCUUCUUCACUGUCUCCCUGCCGCUCCGGCGACGGUGUCCUGCGCUCCUCACCUGCCUGGAAAUCGCCCCGGCGAGGUCCGUCGCCCCCUCACCUACCUACCCACAGCCCCGGCGUGGUCCUGCGCCCCCUCGCCUUUCUCCCCGCCGAUCCGGGCUCGUCUGGUCCUCACUCCCCAACACUGCCGCCAGCUCGAGCUCGGCAGCAUACUCGCGGGCGACCCAGCGUAGGCACCGAUGGAUGAGCAGGCGCGGGGACUUCUCCACCGGAUUACCUUGCACGGCCACAGUGCGUUCGGGGGACCCACACAGCCCACCUCUUCCUCCUGUUGUACAAGCAGAUUAACCGGAGCAAUCGCGGAGGGACGCUUUCUCCGGUGAAUGGUCGACACCAUUGCUCCAGCGAAUGGUCAGCGCCCCUCCAAGUUGAUGGUGUUGAACCAUUGAUCACCCUGCAGCUCACUGGUCGACGAUGCGCAGAUACCAAAACUUAGUUUCUGGAUGGGCGAGUUGUAUUCACAAAGCAAGGAAAGCCUGUAAUGCCACUGAAGGAUCCAACAUCUGAUAUGACUAUCAUUGCACUUAAAGGUUCUGUUCUGGUUCAGAAAAUUCGUGAAAAUGAGAGCCAGUGUUUCUGGGAUCUUGUUGGAUCUAAUCUUGGAAUUAUAUUGGGUGUUGAGAGAACAUCUGCAAGGGAAGACUUUCUCCAGAGAAGAGGGGACGGCUGGUCUUAGUUUUGAAUAUUGCUUGCACGAUUGCUUGCAGGUUGGAGCUCACAUUCUUUGGUUAGUCCGCUUCUGAAAUCGAAUAUUCUGACAGUUCGUUUGGAAUACAUGUUUAGAUUUUCCUUAUCAUUGGAUUAUGCUCAUAAUUUUCAGUAAAUAUAAGUAUUAGCUCAUCAAUGUUUAAAAGUUUAAAACUCAUUUAGAAAAAUCCUAAUACAAUGGCUUAUUCUUUCAUUAUCUAACCUCGAAAUAGAAAAAUCCAAUUAAUCCGGUCCGAGGAAAAUGAUGGUAUCCUUAUGUUUAAUAAUACGGUUUUGCCCCUAAUACGGUUUUGCUAUGUCUCAGUCAACUGAGAUUUUCUUAAGUCUAAGUCACUUACAAAAAAGUACUUGAGUUGCACUUUUCUGUUAAAAAAGUGCAAUUGCACUUUUCUGCUAGAAAUGUGCAACUGAACUGAGUUGCACUUUUCUUUGAACUGUAGUUGCACUUUUCUUAGUUGACUGAGACUUAAGAAAAUCUCAGUCAACUGAGACAUAGACACACCCUUAAUAAUAUAUACCUCUGAAACUGAUAUCUGGUACAAAAACAAGAUAAUACAAAAAUAAGUUGAAAACUCUAUCCAUAAGACUAACACUCAGUUUUUCACUACUUUAUAACAUUUUCAUUAGUGUCAAGCGGUAACAACAACCCAACACACCAACUAAUGAUAAUAUUAUCCAGUUCAGUACUUCAGAAGCACUGGACAAAAUUAUCACCAUGACAUUGUGAGCAGUCUAUAUGCUUGUGCAGCCCCUCACCAUACGGACCAAUGAGGCUGCAGCAUAUACAAUUUUUUGUGGGAUGGACAUGUGACAUAGGAGUUCAGCACCAAGAACAAAAAUACGAAAAACCCGGCAAGAAAGAACAGGACCUGUUUCACCCCUCCAACACAUCCCUGUAAACAAUGUUCUUUGUGCUUUUUUCCUUUGGGAUCUAAGUCUGUAUUUGGCUUCACCAAGAUCCGAGUAGUCUGCCUUGACACACCCCUUGAAAGUGCGACAUAAAGCUGGCCAUGCGAGAAUACAGCUCUGGGAGGUAAAUACCAACAUUUGGAAUGGUUUGCCCCUGGGCUUUGUUGAUGGUCAUUGCAAAACUCAAUCGGAUGGGGAACUGUUUCCUCUUGAACUUGAAAGGAAGUGAAAGGUCCUCCGAGGGCGACAUAGGGAUCCUCGGUAUGAAGACUCUAUAUCCAGCAUGUUGUCCACCUACAAUCUCGGCAUCGAUUGCAUUAUCAUGUAAUGCUCUAAUCAUCAGUCUUGUUCUGUUGCACAACCCAUUGUGCGGAUCAAGAUUUCGGAGAAGAAUGACGGGAAAAUUGACUUUGAGUUUCAAUUCAUGCGGGGGCAGGCCAUUGGGAGUGAGGUGGUUAAGAUAGUCCAGUGGGUAGCUAUUUCCUGGAUCAUCUUCGACAGAGUCAA